ensembl:lncRNA
UUUAAGGGCUCACUGGCAGCAGGGAAGGAUCUCUUUCUGGAGAUUGUUCUUCUUGGAGUUUUUCCUGUAAGCCUUCAACACAGUUCCCCUUUAACUGGCUGCUCUGCAUCCUGAUUGAGGAUCAGCACAUUUAUAUCCAAAGGAAAUCACAUCAUGGCUAAAACUAUUUACUGCUACAACAUUGUAAUUAGGAUCCAGUAGCUGGAAUCUUAAUUGCAUCCCUAGAAUUUUCAGCAAGGUAAAACUAUGAUCUCUUACUAUACCCAUGACUGUGGUCAAUGCAUUCCAUUGAUGAGUACUAAAUGCAAAACUUCUCUACCAUGUUACUCAUUGCAUGUCUAUGCUGGAUUUCACCUGAGUCCAGUCAAUCUCCAUAGUCAUUAUAACUUGGAGUUACAGCUAAUUUGGCAGCCUCACGGUGAAUUACUUAACACAGAUUUGAUGCUGGAAUCAUACUUAGUCUUUUUACUAGACUUAUAGCAUAAGAAAUGUGUAAGGUAUCACACUGAUUUAUUUGUACUGAUGUAUGAACUUUCUUGGGCUUUUGGAUAGGGCAGGUAUGACUAGGCAGAGCAAAAAACAGGAUGCUAGAUAAGAUGGACAACACAUCUGAUUUAGUGCCGUAAUUCCUAUGUCACAAUAGUUCACUCCUGGGGGAAAUAAAAGUUAAAAUACAACCCAGUACAAUUACUGGUAGGCGACAAUUCAAGAAUUGGAAUUUUAGAAUUUUGUUUAAAUUGAAUAACAUGUGUUAAAAGCCAUAUUGAUUAUUUUAAUCCAGUCUCCCAUAGCAGUAUUGUCAAGCAGUAUGACUUCUUCUUUUUCUAUAGUUUGCUUGGCAGGAGAGGAAUGAAGUCAUUGAUCUGCUAUUAACUAAAUAUACUGCAGAAUACUUUGUACUAGCCAUUUGAAUAGGAAAUGGAAGAAUGCUUUAAAAUAACAUUUUCUACCGUGCUUCAUGAUAUCACCAUAGUAACAAAGAGUUCAGUCUGAAUGCUGUGCUUUUGUGCUUAUACUUUCACGUAGAAGAGAGACAUUAGCUACUGGUCUUCCAAUAAGAGAACUGAUUAUUAAUUUUGCAAAGUCACAUUAACCACAGCAUAUUUUCAAAUUCAUAUGCAUCACAAAAAAGAAGUAGCAAUUUUAAAUUAAAGAAAAUCAUGAUACUAUACACCAUAAGAAUGAUCUAUUUGUAUCCAUGAUUUCAAAAAUUGUAAUAUUAGACAGCAUUUAAAAGUCCAGCAAACAAGAAAAAAAGAGGCUAGAUAGCUUAAUGGCUUCGAUGAGAAUGUUGAAGCACACAUUUAUUUAUGUCCUUUCAAUUGCAGCUCUGAUUCAUGGUAAAAGAUCAUGAUUUGAUUGUGCUGGUUAGAUACACUUAUGAUCUUCAAGAAGCUGUAGAUAUUUAUGUACCAUGAUAUUUAUUUUGAGGUGGCAAUGAAUUGGUUGCUUUAAUAAUUGUGAGAGGAAGUUCCUUGCCAUCAUGAUAACAAAAUAUGCAACUGAGAGGCCUUGAACAAGUCUCUCUUUGGUGGUCCAACCUGAAGAUGUAUGCAUGUCGUGGUUUCAGUGUUAUAUCUCUGGCAAUAAAGGAUUCAGUGUCCUGUCAACUAAUCUCAAUAAAUGCCAUGUUGUAAUCCCCAUUAAAUGUAUAAAAUACAAACUGUUUACAAUUAUGAUUCCCAAAGUCACGGUGGCAUAAGUAAUUAAUGUUAGCGAUAAAACUGAUGGCAAUCAUAAAUUGUAACAAUGCCUGUGAACUGAAUUAGGAUAGUAUUUUUCCCUAUAGUAUACAGGUCUUGAGCACUACAGUAUGAGAGAACAAAGGCUUUUUGACGUAUUUUUCUGCUUCUGAAUAAAAUAUAAUCCAAAAGGCUCACACAGCCUUCUUUGUGCCUUAGCUGUGGAAAUCAGCUCCACUGGAUGUGUGAUAGACAUAUAUACAUCCCUUUAGGAAUCUGUCUUUAAUAGUACAACAACCCACCAUAGAAUAGUAACGAAAAACCUAUGUCAUUUCAAAAAAGAGAUGAUAAUAUUCAUUCAUUAUUGGUCAAGUUUUUCUGGAUAUUAGAGAAGUGAGUUUACUAUAAAUGCUUGUUUCAAACCAGAUUUCACACUGGAAAUAAGAAAAGACAUUUGCCUUCCAGGUACUUACCAAUUCCAUUAGACAUGAUGGAUUUCUCGUAUUAUAGAGAUUCUUAGAAGAUGACAAAUGCUGAUCGCCUCCUUUCUGUAAUGUAGCAAUAGUUCAUGUCUUUGAACUAGUUUUAUUGUCAAAGUGAAUAAUAUUUUAAUAUGCUUAGAGAUGGCCUCAUUCUUCUUCAUGGAAAAAUGAAAUGACUUUUGACAUUAGGGUGUUUUGUUAUCUGUUACUUGAGCAGCAUCAGUAUGAAAUAAUUUUGUUUCAGGUAUGAUUUUUGGAAAUAAAAUUGAG